rnacentral:rRNA from 1 species
CUAUGCGCCUUGCCAGCCCGCUCAGGUGUGCCAGCCGCCGCGGUAAUACAGAGGUCUCAAGCGUUGUUCGGAAUCACUGGGCGUAAAGCGUGCGUAGGCGGUUUCGUAAGUCGUGUGUGAAAGGCGGGGACUCAACCCCCGGACUGCACAUGAUACUGCGAGACUAGAGUAAUGGAGGGGGCACCGGAAUUCUCGGUGUAGCAGUGAAAUGCGUAGAUAUCGAGAGGAACACUCGUGGCGAAGGCGGGUUCCUGGACAUUAACUGACGCUGAGGCACGAAGGCCAGGGGAGCGAAAGGG